GGGAAGGGCCAAUCUACGGCCACACCACGCUGAACACGGCUGAUCUUGGAAGCUAAGGAGGGUCGGACCUGGUUAGUAUUUGGAUGGGAGAAAGGGUGGAGUCCUGCCUA
rnacentral:rRNA from 1 species